rnacentral:misc_RNA from 1 species
GGAAUUUAUGAGUACCUUCGGAUACUUAUAGAUUCC